rnacentral:lncRNA from 1 species
AGACCGCCCAGGAGGCGGCGGCUAUUGUUCCCCGCAGGGGCCCGGGGCGCCCUGAAACGGGGUCCACGUCAGCCCGCUCCCGAGCGUGUCCUCAGGUCUAAGGACGGGUGGGGCUUCCUUUGUGUGUUCUCUGGAAGGGGCUGGGAUGGCGUCGUUGCUGCCCCAAGGGGUAACCGAGGGGGAUUGAGGGAAGAUGGUACCAGCUCCCUAGAGCUCAGCUCACCAGACCUACUCUUCCGCUCGACCCUUGCAGAGGAGGUGGGGACGGAUAUGGUAUUUGUAGGGCAGCGCUGUGAACAAUGGAGCCAUCAAAAAGGCCUUCUCCCAGCCUCCUCACCAACCACGGACAUUCCUGGCCCAACAAGACCUCCUGGCCAGGUUUUGAGCCCUGCUUCCCAGGUAAAAACACUGCCUGUACCAGAGCUCUCCAUGAAUUUUGGUUUAAAUUAGGAUUUAAAUUCUUCUGGCCCUUACUAAUGUUAAAACCCAGCUUUUAUGAUUUCUCCAGGUAGUAUUCUUUCCUUAAAAUAAUCCAGACUAGCUAUAGGAACCAAUCAGGACAUUUUGCCCAAGAUCUAGGACAGAAAGACUCAUGCAGUAACUCCUGCCUUACAGAUCUGGGGACCCUUCACCUGCCUCUACUACUGCAAAUGAUUGGAUAUUCGUCUGACUUGGCUCUUCCCUAAUGUGUGGAACUAAUUUUGUUCACUCUGUUUCAUGCUGGACCUGGCCUGAAAAUGGGCCCUUAUAUUGUCUUUGCACUUUCCAACUUGCCAAGUUUCUGAAAGAAGGACCAAAGUAAUGCCAAGAACUCCCAGAUGAAGAGGACCUUCCUUAGACCUAUAACAGAUUCACUACUUGACUUCAGAGGGAAGUUUCAGCUAAUUCUCAGGAAAAGGUCAAAACAGGCCUGUGACUGUCCCUUGAAUACUGAAGGUAUAAACAAGCUUCUGGCUCCUCCAGGUCAAGCAGAGGAACACUUUUAUUAGAAUGAAGGGUUACUUCUUUGUUAUUCAAACACACACCCACACACAUCCUCUGUAGUCUCCCUAAUGAAAAACCUCAACAGAUGGAGAGCCUGAGCUCCCAAGUCCGCAGGCUGAGAAGAUGCACUUCACUCAAGGGCCAGUGGGCUGGUACAGACUAGGGAAGAGAAAAGGGACAAAGGCUGCUAGUAUAGGUAAUCACUAUCUUUUAAUACUCCUAACACAUAGAAAUUCGAAAAAUCUUGUUCAGCAAUGUUAGCAGCCUGUGAGCCUCGGAAACUAAUUUGGCUGAUGUGUCUCUGAUAGGGAGCUUGGGGCUGCACCAA